GAUGAACGCUAGCGGCAGGCCUAAUACAUGCAAGACGAACGGUAAGUUGAGUAGCAAUACUUAGCCAAGAGUGUCGUACGGGUGCGUAACACGUAUGCAACCUACCCUAUACAGGAGGAUAGCCUAGGGAAACCUGGAUUAACCCUUCAUAGUAUUAUUGGAUGGCAUCAUUUGAUAAUUAAAACUGAGGUGGUAUAGGAUGGGCAUGCGUCUGAUUAGUUAGUUGGCGGGGUAAUGGCCCACCAAGACGAUGAUCAGUAGGGGUUCUGAGAGGAAGAUCCCCCACACUGGCACUGAGAUACGGGCCAGACUCCUACGGGAGGCAGCAGUAGGGAAUAUUGGUCAAUGGAUGCAAGUCUGAACCAGCCAUGCCGCGUGCAGGAAGAAGGCCUUCUGGGGUUGUAAACUGCUUUUGCCAGGGGAUAAAAUUUCCAUGCGUGGAAAACUGAAGGUACCUGGUGAAUAAGCCACGGCUAACUACGUGCCAGCAGCCGCGGUAAU
rnacentral:rRNA from 1 species